UACGAAGGGUGCAAGCGUUACUCGGAAUUACUGGGCGUAAAGCGUGCGUAGGCGGUUUGUUAAGUCUGAUGUGAAAUCCCCGGGCUCAACCUGGGACCUGCAUUGGAAACUGGCGAGCUAGAGUACGGUAGAGGGUGGUGGAAUUCCCGGUGUAGCAGUGAAAUGCGUAGAUAUGCGGAGGAACACCGAUGGCGAAGGCAAUCCCCUGGGCCUGCACUGACGCUCAUGCACGAAAGCGUGGGAGCAAACAGG
rnacentral:rRNA from 1 species